UUGUAUUACUGGUGUCAAGGGAAAUGAUUUUCCUUUCCUUUAUCUGCUAGAGAUAGAAGCAGGUCCUCAUGCUGCCACCUGCAGUUCCAAGCUGAGCAAGGCACACUGGCAGAGAGAAAUAUUUCAUUUUUUUAUUUAGUUAUUUAUUUACUCUCUUACUUCGUUGGUUCUGAAAGCAGCUACUCAGACGAGAAUUUUUAACCAGCUCUGUGCUUGGAAAAAAGGACAGGUGGGACCAGAAGAACAAGGAGUAGGAGGAGGAAGGAGAGACCCAGACAAGACUUUCUUUCAAGAGAGGGAAAAAGAAGCAAAGAGGUCCUUGUGUUGGGACAUGAGACUGACAAGCACUCUUUUGAAGAAUGGGCCUAAGGCUCCCUUUUUUUACUGA
rnacentral:lncRNA from 1 species